rnacentral:rRNA from 1 species
AUACGGAGGAUGCGAGCGUUAUCCGGAUUUAUUGGGUUUAAAGGGUGCGCAGGCGGCCAUUUAAGUCAGCGGUUAAAUCGUGGGGCUCAACCCCAUUCUGCCGUUGAUACUGGGUGGCUUGAUUGCGGUCGAGGUUGGCGGAAUUCGUUGUGUAGCGGUGAAAUGCAUAGAUAUGACGAAGAACACCGAUUGCGUAGGCAGCUGACCAGACCGCAAAUGACGCUCAUGCACGAAAGUGCGGGGAUCGAACAGGAUUAGAUACCCUGGUAGUCCGCACAGUAAACGAUGAAUACUUGUUUUCGGCGAUAUAAUGUCGGAGGCAAAGCGAAAGCGUUAAGUAUUCCACCUGGGGAGUACGCCGGCAACGGUGAAACUUAAAGGAAUUGGCGGGG